AGUGAACGCUGGCGGCAGGCCUAAUACAUGCAAGUCGAACGGCAGCACAGUAAGAGCUUGCCUCUACGGGUGGCGAGUGGCGGACGGGUGAGGAAUACAUCGGAAUCCACUUUUUCGUGGGGGACAACGUAGGGAAACAUAUGCUAACACCGCAUAUGAUCUACGGGUGAAAUCAGGGGUUAUUCGGACUCUGGCUGAUACAAUGAGCCGGCGUCGCAUUAGCUAGUCGGCAAGGUAAAGGCUGACCAAGGCAACGAUGCGUAGCUGACCUGAGAGGAUGAUCGGCCACACUGGAACUGAGACACGGUCCAGACUCCUACGGGAGGCAGCAGUAGGGAAUCUUCGGCAAUGGGCGAAAGCCUGAAGGAGCAACGCCGCGUGAGUGAUGAAGGUCUUCGGAUCGUAAAACUCUGUUAUUAGGGAAGAAAAUAUGUGUAAGUAACUGUGCACAUCUUGACGGUACCUAAUCAGAAAGCCACGGCUAACUACGUG
rnacentral:rRNA from 1 species